rnacentral:rRNA from 1 species
GACGUAGGGCGCGAGCGUUGUCCGGAGUUACUGGGCUUAAAGGGUGCGUAGGCGGCGCGGAAAGUAGGGUGUGAAAUCCCUCGGCUCAACCGAGGAACUGCGCUCUAAACUACCGUGCUCGAGGGAGAUAGAGGUAAGCGGAACUUAGGGUGGAGCGGUGAAAUGCGUUGAUAUCCUAAGGAACACCGGUGGCGAAAGCGGCUUACUGGAUCUCUUCUGACGCUGAGGCACGAAAGCUAGGGUAGCGAACGGG